AACGAACGCUGGCGGCGUGCCUAACACAUGCAAGUCGUGCGAGAAAGUUCCUUCGGGAGCGAGUAAAGCGGCGCACGGGUGAGUAACACGUAGGUAACCUGCCCCCCAGUCUGGAACAACUAGAGGAAACUCUAGCUAAUGCCGGAUGAGACCACGAUCCCUUCGGGGGUUGCGGCCAAAGAUGGCCUCUACUUGUAAGCUAUCGCUGAGGGAUGGGCCUGCGGGCCAUUAGCUUGUUGGUGAGGUAACGGCUCACCAAGGCUGUGAUGGCUAGCUGGUCUGAGAGGAUGACCAGCCACACUGGGACUGAGACACGGCCCAGACUCCUACGGGAGGCAGUAGUGGGGAAUAUUGCGCAAUGGGCGAAAGCCUGACGCAGCGACGCCGCGUGGGUGAUGAAGGCCU
rnacentral:rRNA from 1 species